rnacentral:rRNA from 1 species
UACGGGGGGGGCAAGCGUUGUUCGGAAUUACUGGGCGUAAAGGGCGCGUAGGCGGCCUGCUAAGUCGGAUGUGAAAUCCCUCGGCUCAACCGAGGAACUGCAUCCGAUACUGGCGGGCUUGAAUCCGGGAGAGGGAUGUGGAAUUCCAGGUGUAGCGGUGAAAUGCGUAGAUAUCUGGAGGAACACCGGUGGCGAAAGCGGCUUACUGGGUCUCUUCUGACGCUGAGGAACGAAAGCUAGGGUAGCGAACGGG